GACAGAGGUGCCAAGCGUUAGGCGGAAUCACUGGGCUUAAAGCGUGUGUAGGCGGAUGCCUAAGUACCUUGUGAAAUCCCACGGCUCAACCGUGGAACUGCUGGGUAUACUGGGUGUCUUGGGUCAGCUAGGGGUUGCCGGAACAAAUGGUGGAGCGGUGAAAUGCGUAGAGAUCGGAAAGAACACCAACGGCGAAAGCACUCUGCUGGGCCGACACUGACACUGAGAGACGAAAGCUAGGGGAGCGAAUGGG
rnacentral:rRNA from 1 species